UGUAAUUUCUGUUAAUUUUCUUUAAUUAAUAAUAAACUGUGCAAAUGUUUUUCAGUCAAAUACAAUAUUUCAUUGCUCGGUAGCUUUCCCUAGUGUAAGGGACAAGAUGUGUUCUUAAAUACUAGUCAUUGUACCUUCGAGCAUUUUUGCCUGUUGUACUCAAACUGAUAAUUGCAUUCUUUUGAAGGUAGCUCAAAUUUUACGAUACGCUGUAGUGGUUUUAAAGGCAAUAAAAUGAGAAUUAGCUUAUGGAAAAAAAAUAGUUUUUGACUGAUGAAAACUGUCAUUAUUCUUCAAUUUAAAAUAUUGCGUUUCUUCUCUCAGGCAACUUUUGAAAAUAUUACUUAGUGCCUUUGGUGUCAAGAGGUGGAGGCCGAUACACUUUGUGGUGAUAGAAAUGAUAGAAAUCAUCAGACAGCUGAGGAGUAAGGAGGCAAGGACUACCUGAGGGAAAAGUGCACCCAAGGCAACGCAUAUUCCAAGAAAUCAGAAAAUUAUUCUUAUACAAGUAAUGUACUCAAUCACUUCUGCAAGGGUGAUACGACUUUAAUAAUAAGAUCGUGGUUAAAAACAGUAAAGCAAUUUGAGG
rnacentral:lncRNA from 1 species